GUUGGUUGAAUCCACAGAUGUGGAACCUGCAGAUACAGAGGGCUCACUGUAUACAAUUUGAUGAGCCUUGACAUAUGCACACACCCAUGAAAACACCACCACAAGCAAGGCGAGAAGUAUGGGAUCUCCUGUAAGUAUAUCUGGGAACCAGGACAUGGACAAAGAAGAGGACAAAGGAAAAGCAGAGGGAGGCCUUGGCCAGAGGCAGCCUGAAAGGCCAAACUCUAUACUCCAAAGGUCUAAUUGAAGAGUCUAUCUGAAGAAUGAGUAGGCAGCACAAUGGGUUAAGCUGUUAGAUGUGUUCUGUCAAAGGAAAAACUCUGCUCAUGAAAAAUCUAGUUGCAAGGAGCCCGAGACUCAACAAAAAGUGGCGUAAGUAGCAUGGAGUUUAUGAUCUCACUUAACACCAAGUCCAGAGAUGGAGUGGCUCCAUGGCUCAUUAGACUGUGUGACUAUGUCAUCAGGGGCCCAGGUGUUUUACAUUCUUCUGUUCUGCCAUUCUCAAAAUGUCUACAGCCCCCUCUCCCACCAAUCCAUUGCCCGAUUGCUGGAUAGUUGUAAUAGUUUCUAGAAUUUCAUGCAAAAAAAUCCACACCCAACAAAGAAGAGUGCAUUUC